rnacentral:rRNA from 1 species
GACGAACGCUGGCGGCGUGCUUAACACAUGCAAGUCGAGCGGAAAGGCCCUUCGGGGUACUCGAGCGGCGAACGGGUGAGUCACACGUGAGUAACCUGCCCCAGACUUUGGGAUAACCCUCGGAAACGGGGGCUAAUACCGGAUACGACACAGCUUCGCAUGGGGUCUGUGUGGAAAGUUUUUCGGUUUGGGAUGGGCUCGCGGCCUAUCAGCUUGUUGGUGGGGUGAUGGCCUACCAAGGCGACGACGGGUAGCCGGCCUGAGAGGGCGACCGGCCACACUGGGACUGAGACACGGCCCAGACUCCUCCGGGAGGCAGCAGUGGGGAAUAUUGCACAAUGGGCGGAAGCCUGAUGCAGCGACGCCGCGUGAGGGAUGACGGCCUUCGGGUUGUAAACCUCUUUCAGCAGGGACGAAGCGUAAGUGACGGUACCUGCAGAAGAAGCGCCGGCCAACUACGUG